GACGAACGCUGGCGGCGUGCUUAACACAUGCAAGUCGAACGAAGUGGCGAACGGGUGAGUAACGCGUAAUCAACCUGCCCUUCAGAGGGGGACACCAGUUGGAAACGACUGCUAAUACCCCAUACUGAAGGAGGGGAUUGCGUCUGAUUAGCUAGGUGGAGGGGUAACGGCCCACCAAGGGGAUGAUCAGUAGCCGGUCUGAGGGGGUGAACGGCCAAAUUGGGACUGGGACACGGCCCAAGCUCCUACGGGAGGCAGCAGUGGGGAAUCAUCCGCAAUGGACGAAAGGCUGACGGAGCAACGCCGCGUGAGUGAUGACGGCCUUCGGGUUGUAAAGCUCUGUUAAUCGGGACGCGGUACCGGAAGAGGAAGCCACGGCUAACUACGUGCCAGCAGCCGCGGUAAUUC
rnacentral:rRNA from 1 species